rnacentral:rRNA from 1 species
CUACCCUUGACAUGGUCGGAAUCCUGCUGAGAGGUGGGAGUGCUCGAAAGAGAACCGGCGCACAGGUGCUGCAUGGCUGUCGUCAGCUCGUGUCGUGAGAUGUUGGGUUAAGUCCCGCAACGAGCGCAACCCUUGUCCUUAGUUGCUACGCAAGAGCACUCUAGGGAGACUGCCGGUGACAAACCGGAGGAAGGUGGGGAUGACGUCAAAUCAUCAUGCCCCUUAUGACCUGGGCUACACACGUGCUACAAUGGACGGUACAAAGAGCUGCAAGACCGCGAGGUGGAGCUAAUCUCAUAAAACCGUUCUCAGUUCGGAUUGUAGGCUGCAACUCGCCUACAUGAAGCUGGAAUCGCUAGUAAUCGCGGAUCAGCAUGCCGCGGCGAAUACGUUCCC